GAUGAACGCUGGCGGCGUGCCUAAUACAUGCAAGUCGAGCGAACGGACGAGAAGCUUGCUUCACUGAUGUUAGCGGCGGCCGGGUGAGUAACACGUGGAUAACCGACCUAUAAGACUGGGAUAACUUCGGGAAACCGUAGCUAAUACCGGUUAAUAUUUUGAACCGCAUGGUUCAAAAUUGAAAGACGGUCUUGCUGUCACUUAUAGAUGGAGCCGCGCUGCAUUAGCUAGUUGGUAAGGUAACGGCUUACCAAGGCAACGAUGCAUAGCCGACCUGAGAGGGUGAUCGGCCACACUGGAACUGAGACACGGUCCAGACUCCUACGGGAGGCAGCAGUAGGGAAUCUUCCGCAAUGGACGAAAGCCUGACGGAGCAACGCCGCGUGAGUGAUGAAGGUCUUCGGAUCGUAAAACUCUGUUAUUAGGGAAGAACAUAUGUGUAAGUAACUGUGCACAUCUUGACGGUACCUAAUCAGAAAGCCACGGCUAACUACGUG
rnacentral:rRNA from 1 species